rnacentral:rRNA from 1 species
CCUACGGGAGGCUGCAGUGAGGAAUAUUGGUCAAUGGACGAGAGUCUGAACCAGCCAAGUAGCGUGAAGGAUGACUGCCCUAUGGGUUGUAAACUUCUUUUAUCAAGGAAUAAAACGAGGCACGUGUGCCUUUUUGCAUGUACUUUAUGAAUAAGGAUCGGCUAACACCGUGCCAGCAGCCGCGGUAAUACGGAGGAUCCGAGCGUUAUCCGGAUUUAUUGGGUUUAAAGGGAGCGUAGAUGGGUUGUUAAGUCAGUUGUGAAAGUUUGCGUCUCAACCGUAAAAUUGCAAUUGAUACUGGCAUUCUUGAGUACAGUUGAGGUAAGCGGAAUUCGUGGUGUAGCGGUGAAAUGCUUAGAUAUCACGCAGAACCCCGAUUGCGAAGGCAGCUUACUAAACUGUGACUGACAUUGAUGCUCGAAAGUGUGGGUAUCAAACAGGAUUAGAUACCCUAGUAGUC